UUCUUGUCGACACCGAGAAAGAUGGUCAUAGGAUUUCAUUUAACGAUACAUUUGCUGAAAUGGAAUUGGGCGUAACUUGGGAUGAUUUGUACGGUGAAUCGCUUAAAAUUGGGGGUGGAAAAGAGAGAAUUACGGCAUAUUUCAACAAGACGAGUUGGCCAGAAAAAGCUCAAACGGGUAAUGAAGAAAGAAAGAAAUUCAUAGCUUCACUGCACAAGCG